rnacentral:lncRNA from 1 species
GUGGAGAGAGGUGAAGUGACUUGCUCAACAUCACACAGUUGCCUUCCCACGUGUGUGAGACCAUUGCUGUGGAAAGAAGCCGGGCCUGACUUCAGGGAUCUGGUGUGAAAUGACUGGACCCAUGCGUUCUGAGUAAACAAGAGAGCCCCUUCUGGCUUCUCCGGGAGGAACCAAAUGGCUUCAGCAUUCAGCUCCAAAGCCCGAUGGAGACCAAGAGUGAUACACUGUACUCAUGAUCAACUGCUCAGUUCUGGUUUGGGCCUCUGAGGGCUGAUGGGGUUUGGCAGUUCUGCCUCCACACAGCUGCCAAGGCCACCAUAAUUCUGGGACCUAGGAGUAAUUUCAAAGGUUUGGCUGUUACAUAUACAGCUGUUAUAAACAUCUGUGUGGGUGUCUUUCCAAAUGGAAUUGCUGGUUCAUGGAACCUCCAGCACAAUGUUGAAUGGAAAUGGUGAUAGUGGGCAUCUUGUCUUGUACCCAGUCUCACUAUGUGGAAGCUUCACUAUUUCACAAUGAAGGCCCAGCACGGUGACUCAAACCUGUAAUCCCAGCACUUUGGAGGGCUGAGGCAAGUGGAUCACCUGAGAUCAGGAGUUCAAGACCAGUCAAGACCAGCCUGGCC